CGAGCUGGUUGGUGGGGUGAUCUGCCGGUCUGUGCAGGACACAUGGGAAGUAUGCAGUCAGCUAGAUCAUGGACCGGCAUUUGGGAGACAGGAGGACAGCAGUGGGCACAAUGUAUGCUUUAGAUCACUGUCUUCAUUUUGGAAAGGAUUACUGCCCUCAUUGCCCAGAGAAGGAUUGCUGAAAAUGUCAGUGGCUGGAAUGAGGCAUCAUUUUACUGGGGCAAGUUUUCAAGAAAAAUCAGAUCCUUGAUCAGGAACUGGGGCUCAAAGUUUUCAAAGAGGUUUUGAAUUUGAAAUGAGAUAAAAUUAGUACUAGCAAACCUGACUGAUUGU